rnacentral:rRNA from 1 species
UACGGAGGGUGCUAGCGUUGUUCGGAAUCACUGGGCGUAAAGGGCGUGUAGGCGGUCUGUUAAGUCUGAUGUGAAAUCCUCUCGCUUAACGAGGGAACUGCGUCGGAUACUGGCAGACUCGAGUACCGGAGAGGAAGGUGGAAUUCCCGGUGUAGCGGUGAAAUGCGUAGAUAUCUGGAAGAACACCAGUGGCGAAGGCGGCUCUCUGGGACGGUACUGACGCUGAGACGCGAAAGCGUGGGGAGCGAACAGG